CAUUAGUGAGAAUCGAAUGCCUCGAAAACCUAAGGGUUCCUCCACAAGGUUCGUCCACGGAGGGUGAGUCAGGGCCUAAGAUCAGGCCGAAAGGCGUAGUCGAUGGACAACAAGUGAAUAGCCGCUAGUAGAAAACUGAAAUAACUAGUUAUAGUAAGCAUAGAGA
rnacentral:ncRNA from 1 species